CCAGGAUACAAUUCUGGCACUGCGACGACGUCGAAAGUCCUCCAACCGUAAGUGCUGAGGACGAAGAAACACAAGAAGAAUAUAAACAUAACCUCAAAGGUUGUUAGUGGAAAUAUAUGGUAAAAAAUGUGAGUCAGAGAAGUAAAAGAGACUAACAGUUUAAAUAAUGUUUUGGUGAGAAGGCAGACACAGUCCAAUGCUCCAUAGUAAAUUGCCUUCCAAACAAAUAAUAAGUAUAUUCACAUCAGCUAAAGAUUCAAAUAAUCCUACUCCAAGCUUACAGUUAUAGAAACUGAACAGAGAAUAAACCAAAUUAAGAAAUUAUUUACUGUGAACCUCCAAUUGAAGCCAAAUUUAUUAUUUUAUAUUUUUAGGGGACAAUGACUGAAGAAGCAUUGACAAAACAAUGAUUAGAUAUUUCAUGCUGCCCACCAGUAACCAGGCUAUUAAAGGAAAAACCAGCCGUACUCCACUGCGGUAAAAGCCAAUUUACGUGCUUUUAAGCCCUUUCUAGACUG